GACGAACGCUGGCGGCGCGCUUAACACAUGCAAGUCGAACGGAAAGGCCUGCUUUCCCUUGUGGAUUGCGGGUACUCGAGUGGCGAACGGGUGAGUAACACGUGAGUGAUCUGCCCCCAACUUGGGUAUAAGCCUGGGAAACUGGGUCUAAUUCCCGAUAGGCAUGCAGGGUGGUGCCUGUGGUGGGAAACGAUUUUCUAGUGGUUGGGGAUGAGCUCGCGGCCUAUCAGCUUGUUGGUGGGGUAAUGGCCUACCAAGGCGGCGACGGGUAGCCGGCCUGAGAGGGUGGACGGCCACAUUGGGACUGAGAUACGGCCCAGACUCCUACGGGAGGCAGCAGUGGGGAAUAUUGCACGAUGGGCGGAAGCCUGAUGCAGCGACGCCGCGUGGGGGAUGACGGCCUUCGGGUUGUAAACUCCUUUCGACCGCGAGGAAGCCACCUGGUUGGAAGGGUGGUGACGGUAGUGGUAGAAGAAGCACCGGCUAACUACGUG
rnacentral:rRNA from 1 species